GAAGCUUCCUCUCUUCCUCUCUCCCCCUUCCUUUUAACCUUCGUCGGAGAAUCGAGAAUUCAAAGGACCGUGGCCUCCUCCUCCUCCGCUCAGGUGACCGCUCCCCUUCUUCGUUUGAAACCCUAACCCUAACCCUAGCCCGAUCCUUCGUCUUCAUCUCGUAUCAUCGUCAUCCUCUCAUCUCCUGAAGUUCGCCCCUCUUCACUGGGUCGAAUUGAAGUUUUGCGCCUCUUGCUCUUACAGGGAUAUACCCUAUUUUAGAGUACAAAAGAGGUGGAAGGCAUCACCUUUGGAGUGUAUGAAAGCAUACUAACCAAAGCUUAAAAGGGAGAAAAAAAAACACAAGCGAUGCCAAACAAAGCAAAGGGAUGAGGAGACAGCAGCAUCGUCACAUCUCGAGCGUCAAUUUCCACAGUCGCACCGUGCAAAGAACACUCCUUCCCAAUACUUCGCUUCGGCAAAGGUGGUUAUUGAAAAUUCUCUUGUUCCGCUCGUUCCAUAGCUCCCAGCAACCCGCCGUGAAAUACAGGUCAAAGUUGGCUCUAGCUUGUCCAGAUAAACCCAUUCUUGCAUCGAUCCAGCGCUCCGCUAGUUUUCCAUGGGAGCUUGUUGUCAGUUUUCGCACGGACAAUGGGUGUUGUAGCAACCAGGUCCAGAGGGAUUUUGCAUAGAGGCAGUGGAAGAGAAUAUGGUCCAAAGUUUCCGCUGCAGAAUUGCAUAGGACGCAGAUGGAGGGACCGUACCAACCUCUUCGGGCUAGAAAGUCCGCAGUGAGAAUUGUGUAACGGGAAGCUAGCCAGAAGAAGACCUUAAUUUUAAGAGGGAUCUUGAGCUUCCAGAGGAAAGGGAUCUUAGAGUCAUUGACUCCAUCAAAAAUUAGGAAGUUGUAGGCGCUCCGAACUGAAAAAGAUCCAGAAGUAUUCCAUCGCCAAGAAGGCGAGUCAUCAAUGGAGUCUAAGAGAGUAAAGGUGUUGAGCAAAGUAGAGAGGUUUUGAAGCUCUACCUGUUCCGCUUGGCUGAGGGGCGCGGUAAAUCCGAAGUUAGCCCGGUGAGCGAAGCGCUGAAUCCAGCAUCUGACAGAGAGAUGUUUAUGAGUCAAAGCAGCGUAAAGGUUAGGGAAGCGAUCUCUUGGGGCCAAGUCCCCACACCAUCUCGCAUUCCAGAAGGAAGUAGCCAAGCCCUUGCUUAGGGAGAAGUUGAUAGAGAUCAGGAAAGGCGCCGCAACCUUGAGAGUCUCGCGCCAAAUGGGGCAAGAACCAGCAGGCAUCAUGGCGUUAGCUGAAGGAGCAUUGUGCUUGUAAUGUUUGUAAUAGCAAGUGAACCCAGGGUAAGGAUCUUGAGUUGUAGAAGCUCCAAAGUGUCUUCAUCAUUAAGGCAUGAUUUGUUGCGCGCAGAUUUCGUACUCCAAUUCCUCCAGAUCUCUUGGGGCGCUAAACCAGUAUAUUAAUCAGAAGUGGCAGUGGAUAAGUUUUCCAAAACCAUAUGCAUCAUCUUUGCAUGUUAAAUCAGUUAUAUAUUUUAAAAUUUUCAAUUUAUUUGCUUGAAUGGAUAAUCUUUGCAAUAUGUCUUUUCUAUUCGAUCUUGUAUUCAUUUUCAUGAAUAAUUUGUGCAACGGGAAUGCAAGAUUACUGAUCUUUUAGUUUGCUAAUAGCAUUAUAUGAAGGUUUUUCUUGUAGUA